rnacentral:sRNA from 1 species
AUAUUGCGUGAGGGAUAGAAGUGGAAAGCCCACAGCCUGACGAAGGAAGAGCGAGGACUUGCAGCGAAUAGCCCGGCCCUUG